rnacentral:misc_RNA from 2 species
AUGAGAACUAAGAGUAGUAGCCUUGGCUACUAUUCUGAACACUCCACCCUUUGUUUACAUUACCUUUGUUGCUUUAGCAGGCCCGCUUUCGAGCCGCCGGCACCUGCUGGUCAGUGCCUGCUAGAGAACCUAAAACUCUUGUUAAUAAUAUUGUCUGAGUACUAUAUAAUAGUUA